rnacentral:rRNA from 1 species
CAAUAGCGUAUAUUAAAGUUGUUGCAGUUAAAAAGCUCGUAGUUGGAUUUCUGGUGGGAGCGAUCGGUCUGGCGCUUAGCGCGAGUACUUGCAUCGUCUCCGGCCAUCCUUGGGGAGAGUCUGUCUGGCAUUAGGUUGUCGGGCAGAGGAUCCUCAUCGUUUACUGUGAAAAAAUUAGAGUGUUCAAAGCAGGCUUAUGCCGUUGAAUACAUUAGCAUGGAAUAAUAAGAUAAGACUUUGGUGGUCUAUUUUGUUGGUUUGCACGCCAAAGUAAUGAUUAAUAGGGAUAGUUGGGGGUAUUCGUAUUCUAUUGCUAGAGGUGAAAUUCUUAAAUUUAUGGAAGACGAACUACUGCGAAAGCAUUUACCAAGGAUGUUUUCAUUAA